rnacentral:rRNA from 1 species
UGGGGAAUCUUCCGCAAUGGACGAAAGUCUGACGGAGCAACGCCGCGUGUAUGAUGAAGGUCUUCGGAUUGUAAAGUACUGUCAUUGGGGAAGAACGGUUUUCUUGAAAAGAUUGAGAAGACAUGACGGUACCCAAGGAGGAAGCCCGGCUAACUACGUGCCAGCAGCCGCGGUAAUACGUGGGGGCAAGCGUUGUCCGGAAUUAUUGGGCGUAAAGGGCGCGUAGGCGGGCCUUUAAGUCCGGUGUGAAAGAUCAGGGCUCAACCCUGAGAGUGCAUCGGAAACUGGAGGCCUUGAGGACAGGAGAGGAAAGUGGAAUUCCACGUGUAGCGGUGAAAUGCGUAGAUAUGUGGAGGAACACCAGUGGCGAAGGCGACUUUCUGGACUGUAACUGACGCUGAGGCGCGAAAGCGUGGGGNGCAAACGGGAUUAGAUACCCUGGUAGUCCACGCCGUAAACGAUGAGUGCUAGGUGUAGAGGGUAUCA